UUUAUGGGCCGAGUCAAGAAAUCACAUGACCACAGACCUUAUUCUUUCAGUUGCAUUUUUCUCGUCGAGGUCGUUGGUUUAGCGCCGAUUACUUGGUUUCUUCUGGGUUUUUUUUGUUGGAAUGUGGUUCCUACAUCGUCGCAUUAUGGCCUUUCUCAACCUUCACACUGCCGCACCUUUGUGGUAAACUUCGGACUGCAACACAAGUGAAGGACGUGUCUGAUGUUACACAAAGAUGCUGUCCUCAUGUUCAAACUCACCUCAACCCAAAUCUCAUUGAGAUGUCUUCAAUUUAAGUAAAAAUGUUCCUGCUAUAUGACAAGACUUCAAGAAGAACAUCUUUGAGAACUUCAGCUUUUCUGAUAAUUGUGAUUAAAGCCUUGUGCUGUCAAACCCUCACAUGUCGUCCUGAAGAGUAUCAGAUAAGGAAUGAAUGCUGCCCAAUGUGUCCACCUGGAAACAGAGUUAAAAUACAUUGUACAGAGUUCAGAAGUACAUCAUGUCUACCCUGCACGAGUGGAAGUUAUAUGGAUAAAGCUACUGGACUUAGAGAGUGUUUCCCAUGCACCAACUGUGAUGCAGGUUCUGGUCUGAAGGUAAAGAGGUCAUGUACAACAACAUCAGACACAGUUUGUGAACCACUUGAAGGAUUCUUCUGUAUUGACUUCACAAAUGGCCAAUGUGAAGCAGCACAGAAACACAAGGACUGUGAUCCAGGACAAUACAUCAAGGAAAAAGGUACAUCCUCCUCAGACACUGUGUGCUCUGACUGCAGUGAUGGAACAUUUUCAGAUGGAACAUUAACAUCUUGUCACCAACACACACAAUGUGAAUCAAUGAACCUUCAGCUGAAAACAGCAGGAACUAAGUCAGCUGAUUCUGUUUGUGAGGAAAAAACUUCAAAUGUUGGAGUUAUUGUGGGCGUCACCAUUGGUCUGGUUGUUUUAGUCGUUCUAAUAGUAGUAGUAACAGUAUUGUACUACAUCAAAAGAAAGAACAAAUGUCCAGCAGUUACAGACAAAAACAAUCAUGCAGACAACUCCAUAGAGGUAUGUUUAUUUCUCACUGUUACAGAUCACAGCACUUGGUUUAUUUAAGAAAUUAAAUUAUGUGUUAUUUUUUUUCUUCAAUUCUUCUAAAAAGACACCUUUACGUACACGACAGCAUCAGGAGGUUGAACCUGCGUAACCAGUCUAAACUCUCAGAUGAAAUCUGUUUUCUGUGGACUACAUUUGCUCCAGAAUCCAGUUAUUAUUCAUUUGGACGCUGUCUUCACAGAGAAUAGAAAAGACAAAUCAGUGACAUAAAGACACUUAAUAUUAUUUGUAAAUUGUCAGUGGAUCUCCAGCUUCCUGACUGACCGGAGGCCGCAGGUGAGACUGGGAAGUUUCACAUCCAGCACCUGGAUUCUCAGCACUGGUGCCCCCCAGGGGUGUGAUCUCUCCCCACUGCUCUUCUCCCUCUACACUAAUGACUGCACCUCUGGGAACCUUCUGUGAAACUCCUGAAGUUUACAGGUGACACCAGCGUCAUUGGACUCAUCCAGGACGGGGACGAGUCUGCAUACAGAGGGGACGUGGAUCAGCUGGUUCUCUGGUGCAGUCAGAACCACCUGGAGCUAAACCCACUCAAGACUGUGGACUUUAGGAAGAGACCCCAUCCACCCCUCCUCUUACCACUCUAAACAGACUACACAACUAAACUGCCUUCAUCACGGUCUGGUUUGGAUCAGUCACCAGACAGGACAGGGACAGACUGCAGAGGACAAUCAGGUCUGCAGAAUUAUUGGCACUGACCUUCCCUCCAUCCAGGACCUGUACCGGUCUGGGGUCAGGAAGCGGGCUGGUAAAAUCUCCACCGACCCCUCACACCCCGGACACUAUCUAUUCAGACUCCUCCCCUCAGGCCGGCUUUACAGAGCACUGUACGCCAAAACAACCCGGCACAGAAACUGUUUCUUUCCCCGGGCUGUAGCUCUGAUGAACUCUGAGCAGUCACAGAGCACGUGACCUUUCUCAUAACAAAUCUGUAUAUUCAUACUUUUUAUAUUCAUGUCCAUACUCACUGUAUAUACUAUAUACAGUUGCUGUUGGGGCCAAAUUUAACUUUUUCUGUUUUGAGUCUUGUGCACCCUCUGCAGGCUUGGAGUGUCUCCGACCUAAAGAUACUAUUUCUCAGAGGCUGCUGCAAUUCAAUGGAAAAUAUGAUGUACAUGGAUGAAUUGAAUCUGGCAUCCAACCUCAAAGCCAUGAUGUUUAAACUUCCUCAUAAAAUCUGUGACAAAUGGAGGUCAGCUGCGUCAAAUAUACAAACAGAAAACAAUACAAGACUAACAUUGACCAAUCUUGUGGAAUUCCUUGAAAAACACAUUUGCAUCUACUCUGACCCAGUGUUUGGCAGCAUCUUAGAUGGCUCUGAGAGUAAAGAUAAGUCAAAACUUCUGCCCAAGCCCAAAUCUACUGGAAGCUUUGCCACAAGAUUUGACCAAUUAGCUCAACUGGUCCAGUGUGGAUUCUGCAUGGGUAAGCACACACUUUCACAGUGCUCAAGUUUAAGAAAAAAGUCAAAUAAAGAAGAAAAAAUUGACUUCUUAAGAAAUAAUGGAAUCUGUUUUAGAUGUCUCAUAAAAAGACACAUAAGCAAGGACUGCAAAAGGUGCCUGACAUGUGGCGUAUGUAAGAAACCACAUCCUGGACUUCUGCACAUUGACUAUCAACAAAUAAUGAACAAAGAUGUAGAACAACCUCCUGUGGACAAUGAUGGUGAUCAGUCCGUUUCCUUUAAAUCUUGUGGGCAUAUGGGGGCCUGUAAGAAUGAUUGUGCACUUGCCAUUGUUCCUGUCCAAGUAAAAAGCAGCAAGAGUGAUCAGAUAAUUACAACAUAUGCUUUUCUUGAUUCGGGCAGUUCUGUCUCCUUUUGCACUGAGGCACUAAUGUCAAAACUGUGCAUCAAGGGACGAAAAACCAGCACUGUGUUGCAUACUUUGAAUCAAGAGAAAUGUAUCCCCUCAUGCCUAGUCACAGGACUUGAAGUCGCUGGAUUAGACAGUUCUGACUUUGUUGCUUUACGAGAUGUUUACACUCAGCAAGAGAUGCCUGUAACAAAACAACACGAUCAGAACAUGAUCAGACAGGAAGAGCUUUUAAAAUGGCCGUAUCUACCAAAGGUGACCUUACCUAGCAUUGAUGUCCAAGUUGAGUUGCUAAUUGGGUCAAAUGCCCACCAAGUCAUUGAACCCUGGGAGGUGAUUAAUAGUGAACAAGGUGGACCCUUUGCCAUCAGAACACAGCUAGGAUGGGAUGUCAAUGGCCCUCUUAGAGGUUAUGAUCCUGGCACAAUUAAUUGUCCAACAGUCACAUGCAAUAGAAUCUCUAUAGCCAGAAUUGAGAAGCUUUUGAUCAGUCAAUACAAUCAGGAUUUCAGCGAAAGAGCAUCUGAAGACAAACCUGAAAUGUCAUUGGAAGAUAAGAAAUUCAUGAAGUGUGCAAAUAACAGUGUAAUGCUGCAAGAUGGACACUAUACUCUCGACUUAGCUUUUAGGAGAGAAAACCCAGUCCUGGCGAACAAUCUAUCUGUGGCAGAACAGCGGCUCCUUGGCCUGAAGAAAAAAUUCCAAAGACAUGAGCAAUUCAAAGAGGAAUAUAGUGACUUUGUGUCAGAGAUCAUUGAAAUGAAAUAUGCUGAAGUGGUACCAUGUGAACAACUGAAAGAAAACAAUGGCAGAGUGUGGUACAUCCCACACCAUGGGGUGUACCACCCCAAAAACAAAACUUUAAGAGUGGUCUUCGAUUGCAGUGCAUCCUAUCAAGUAACGUCAGUCAAUUCAGAAUUACUUAAAGGCCCAGACUUAACAAACAGCCUAGUUGGAGUGCUUGUAAGGUUCAGGCUGGAGCCAGUUGCUGUAAUGGCAGACAUCCGGCAUUUUCUGUGGACUACAUUUGAUCCAGAAUCCAGUAUUGUGGAUACUGGUGGCUGUAUGAAUGGUGUGAAUUUUUUUUUUAUUUGUUUGUUUAUCAUUUUUUCUAUCUUUGCACUGGUCAGAUGUGGCAAUUCCAUUGUACUGAUGUGCAAUGACAAUAAAAUAUUUAAUUGUUUUAA